UGGGGAAUUUUGGACAAUGGGCGCAAGCCUGAUCCAGCCAUGCCGCGUGCGGGAAGAAGGCCUUCGGGUUGUAAACCGCUUUUGUCAGGGAAGAAAUCUUCUGAGUUAAUACCUCGGGAGGAUGACGGUACCUGAAGAAUAAGCACCGGCUAACUACGUGCCAGCAGCCGCGGUAAUACGUAGGGUGCAAGCGUUAAUCGGAAUUACUGGGCGUAAAGCGUGCGCAAGGCGGUUUUGUAAGACAGAGGUGAAAUCCCCGGGCUCAACCUGGGAACUGCCUUUGUGACUGCAAGGCUUGAGUGCGGCAGAGGGGGAUGGAAUUCCGCGUGUAGCAGUGAAAUGCGUAGAUAUGCGGAGGAACACCGAUGGCGAAGGCAAAUCCCCUGGGCCUGCACUGACGCUCAUGCACGAAAGCGUGGGGAGCAAACAGGAUUAGAUACCCUGGUAGUCCACGCCCUAAAACGAUGUCAACUGGUUGUUGGGAAGGUUCCUUCUCAGUAACGUAGCUAACGCGUGAAGUUGACCGCCUGGGGAGUACGGCCGC
rnacentral:rRNA from 1 species